rnacentral:rRNA from 1 species
UACGUAGGCAGCGAGCGUUGUUCGGAAUUACUGGGCGUAAAGAGUGUGUAGGCGGUGCUCUAAGUUCGGUGUGAAAUCUCCCGGCUUAACUGGGAGGGUGCGCCGGAAACUGGAGUGCUCGAGCGUGGGAGAGGAAAGCGGAAUUCCUGGUGUAGCGGUGAAAUGCGUAGAUAUCAGGAGGAACACCGGUGGCGAAGGCGGGUCUCUGGGCCAUUACUGACGCUGAGGAGCGAAAGCGUGGGGAGCGAACAGG